rnacentral:rRNA from 1 species
UACGGAGGAUGCAAGCGUUAUCCGGAAUGAUUGGGCGUAAAGCGUCCGCAGGUGGCAAUGUAAGUCUGCUGUUAAAGAGUCUAGCUCAACUAGAUAAAAGCAGUGGAAACUACAUAGCUAGAGUACGUUCGGGGCAGAGGGAAUUCCUGGUGUAGCGGUGAAAUGCGUAGAGAUCAGGAAGAACACCGGUGGCGAAGGCGCUCUGCUAGGCCGUAACUGACACUGAGGGACGAAAGCGUGGGGAGCGAACAGG